AUUGAACGCUGGCGGCAUGCCUUACACAUGCAAGUCGAACGGCAGCACGGGAGCAAUCCUGGUGGCGAGUGGCGAACGGGUGAGUAAUAUAUCGGAACGUGCCCAGUCGUGGGGGAUAACGUAGCGAAAGUUACGCUAAUACCGCAUACGAUCUACGGAUGAAAGCGGGGGGACUCGCAAGAGCCUCGCGCGAUUGGAGCGGCCGAUAUCAGAUUAGGUAGUUGGUGAGGUAAAGGCUCACCAAGCCGACGAUCUGUAGCUGGUCUGAGAGGACGACCAGCCACACUGGGACUGAGACACGGCCCAGACUCCUACGGGAGGCAGCAGUGGGGAAUUUUGGACAAUGGGCGCAAGCCUGAUCCAGCAAUGCCGCGUGCAGGAUGAAGGCC
rnacentral:rRNA from 1 species